rnacentral:rRNA from 1 species
ACGGGGGGAGCAAGCGCUGUUCGGAAUUACUGGGCGUAAAGGGCGCGUAGGCGGCCUACUAAGUCAGACGUGAAAUCCCCCGGCUUAACCUGGGAACUGCGUCUGAUACUGGAAGGCUCGAGUAUGGGAGAGGGAUGUAGAAUUCCAGGUGUAGCGGUGAAAUGCGUAGAUAUCUGGAGGAAUACCGGUGGCGAAGGCGGCAUCCUGGACCAUUACUGACGCCGAGGCGCGAAAGCUAGGGGAGCAAACGGGA